rnacentral:rRNA from 1 species
GGUGCUUGCACCAAAUGAAACUAGAUACAAGCGAGCGGCGGACGGGUGAGUAACACGUGGGUAACCUGCCCAAGAGACUGGGAUAACACCUGGAAACAGAUGCUAAUACCGGAUAACAACACUAGACGCAUGUCUAGAGUUUAAAAGAUGGUUCUGCUAUCACUCUUGGAUGGACCUGCGGUGCAUUAGCUAGUUGGUAAGGUAACGGCUUACCAAGGCAAUGAUGCAUAGCCGAGUUGAGAGACUGAUCGGCCACAUUGGGACUGAGACACGGCCCAAACUCCUACGGGAGGCAGCAGUAGGGAAUCUUCCACAAUGGACGCAAGUCUGAUGGAGCAACGCCGCGUGAGUGAAGAAGGGUUUCGGCUCGUAAAGCUCUGUUGGUAGUGAAGAAAGAUAGAGGUAGUAACUGGCCUUUAUUUGACGGUAAUUACUUAGAAAGUCACGGCUAACUACGUGCCAGCAGCCGCGGUAAUACGUAGGUGGCAAGCGUUGUCCGGAUUUAUUGGGCGUAAAGCGAGUGCAGGCGGUUCAAUAAGUCUGAUGUGAAAGCCUUCGGCUCAACCGGAGAAUUGCAUCAGAAACUGUUGAACUUGAGUGCAGAAGAGGAGAGUGGAACUCCAUGUGUAGCGGUGGAAUGCGUAGAUAUAUGGAAGAACACCAGUGGCGAAGGCGGCUCUCUGGUCUGCAACUGACGCUGAGGCUCGAAAGCAUGGGUAGCGAACAGGAUUAGAUACCCUGGUAGUCCAUGCCGUAAACGAUGAGUGCUAAGUGUUGGGAGGUUUCCGCCUCUCAGUGCUGCAGCUAACGCAUUAAGCACUCCGCCUGG